rnacentral:pre_miRNA from 1 species
AGCACAAUUGCUGGAUCAUAUGGUAAGAAGAUGUUUAGUUUUAUGAGAAAUAGCUAAACUGCUUUCCAAAGUAGCCUUACCAUUUUGCACUUCCACCAGCAAU